rnacentral:miRNA from 1 species
UGUACGAACAAGUGGCUGUCGGU